rnacentral:rRNA from 1 species
AGAGUUUGAUCAUGGCUCAGAUUGAACGCUGGCGGCAGGCCUAACACAUGCAAGUCGAACGGUAACAGGAAGCAGCUUGCUGCUUCGCUGACGAGUGGCGGACGGGUGAGUAAUGUCUGGGAAACUGCCUGAUGGAGGGGGAUAACUACUGGAAACGGUGGCUAAUACCGCAUAACGUCGCAAGACCAAAGAGGGGGACCUUCGGGCCUCUUGCCAUCAGAUGUGCCCAGAUGGGAUUAGCUUGUUGGUGAGGUAACGGCUCACCAAGGCGACGAUCCCUAGCUGGUCUGAGAGGAUGACCAGCCACACUGGAACUGAGACACGGUCCAGACUCCUACGGGAGGCAGCAGUGGGGAAUAUUGCACAAUGGGCGCAAGCCUGAUGCAGCCAUGCCGCGUGUAUGAAGAAGGCCUUCGGGUUGUAAAGUACUUUCAGCGGGGAGGAAGGUGUUGCGGUUAAUAACCGCAGCAAUUGACGUUACCCGCAGAAGAAGCACCGGCUAACUCCGUGCCAGCAGCCGCGGUAAUACGGAGGGUGCAAGCGUUAAUCGGAAUUACUGGGCGUAAAGCGCACGCAGGCGGUCUGUCAAGUCGGAUGUGAAAUCCCCGGGCUCAACCUGGGAACUGCAUUCGAAACUGGCAGGCUUGAGUCUUGUAGAGGGGGGUAGAAUUCCAGGUGUAGCGGUGAAAUGCGUAGAGAUCUGGAGGAAUACCGGUGGCGAAGGCGGCCCCCUGGACAAAGACUGACGCUCAGGUGCGAAAGCGUGGGGAGCAAACAGGAUUAGAUACCCUGGUAGUCCACGCCGUAAACGAUGUCUACUUGGAGGUUGUGCCCUUGAGGCGUGGCUUCCGGAGCUAACGCGUUAAGUAGACCGCCUGGGGAGUACGGCCGCAAGGUUAAAACUCAAAUGAAUUGACGGGGGCCCGCACAAGCGGUGGAGCAUGUGGUUUAAUUCGAUGCAACGCGAAGAACCUUACCUGGUCUUGACAUCCACGGAAGGUCUCAGAGAUGAGACUGUGCCUUCGGGAACCGUGAGACAGGUGCUGCAUGGCUGUCGUCAGCUCGUGUUGUGAAAUGUUGGGUUAAGUCCCGCAACGAGCGCAACCCUUAUCCUUUGUUGCCAGCGAUUAGGUCGGGAACUCAAAGGAGACUGCCAGUGAUAAACUGGAGGAAGGUGGGGAUGACGUCAAGUCAUCAUGGCCCUUACGACCAGGGCUACACACGUGCUACAAUGGCGCAUACAAAGAGAAGCGACCUCGCGAGAGCAAGCGGACCUCAUAAAGUGCGUCGUAGUCCGGAUUGGAGUCUGCAACUCGACUCCAUGAAGUCGGAAUCGCUAGUAAUCGUGGAUCAGAAUGCCACGGUGAAUACGUUCCCGGGCCUUGUACACACCGCCCGUCACACCAUGGGAGUGGGUUGCAAAAGAAGUAGGUAGCUUAACCUUCGGGAGGGCGCUUACCACUUUGUGAUUCAUGACUGGGGUGAAGUCGUAACAAGGUAACCGUAGGGGAACCUGCGGUUG